CAACAUCCGUUGGGGUGCCCGUUUUCGGGCUGAGAGACAUUACGUCAACCCAUCGAACCUGAUCCGGUUGAUACCGGCGUAGGGAACGGACAUCAGCACGCA
rnacentral:ncRNA from 2 species